UGCAUGAAGUUGGAAUCGCUAGUAAUCGCGGAUCAGCAUGCCGCGGUGAAUACGUUCCCGGGCCUUGUACACACCGCCCGUCACACCAUGAGAGUCGGGAACACCCGAAGUCCGUAGCCUAACCGCAAGGGGGCGCGGCCGAAGGUGGUUCGAUAAUUGGGGUGAAGUCGUAACAAGGUACC
rnacentral:rRNA from 1 species